CCUACGGGUGGCUGCAGUGGGGAAUAUUGGGCAAUGGGCGCAAGCCUGACGCAGCAACGCCGCGUGAAGGAAGAAGGCUUUCGGGUUGUAAACUUCUUUUCUCAGGGACGAAGCAGGUGACGGUACCUGAGGAAUAAGCCACGGCUAACUACGUGCCAGCCGCCGCGGUAAUACGUGGGUGGCAAGCGUUAUCCGGAAUUACUGGGUGUAAGGGGCGUGUAGGCGGGAAUACAAGUCAGAUGUGAAAACCACGGGCUCAACCUGUGGCCUGCAUUUGAAACUGUAUUUCUUGAGUGUUGGAGAGGCAGACGGAAUUCCUAGUGUAGCGGUGAAAUGCGUAGAUAUUAGGAGGAACACUAGUGGCGAAGGCGGUCUGCUGGACAGCAACUGACGCUGAGGCGCGAAAGCGUGGGGAGCAAACAGGAUUAGAUACCCCAGUAGUC
rnacentral:rRNA from 1 species